GCACCAGACUCCUACGGGAGGCAGCAGUGGGGAAUAUUGCACAAUGGGGGGAACCCUGAUGCAGCGACGCCGCGUGAGUGAAGAAGUAUUUCGGUAUGUAAAGCUCUAUCAGCAGGGAAGAAAAUGACGGUACCUGACUAAGAAGCCCCGGCUAACUACGUGCCAGCAGCCGCGGUAAUACGUAGGGGGCAAGCGUUAUCCGGAUUUACUGGGUGUAAAGGGGGCGCAGACGGCGAUGCAAGCCAGGAGUGAAAGCCCGGGGCCCAACCCCGGGACUGCUCUUGGAACUGCGUGGCUAGAGUGCAGGAGGGGCAGGCGGAAUUCCUGGUGUAGCGGUGAAAUGCGUAGAUAUCAGGAGGAACACCGGCGGCGAAGGCGGCCUGCUGGACCGUGACUGACGUUGAGGCUCGAGAGCGUGGGGAGCAAACAGGAUUAGAUACCCCUGUAAGC
rnacentral:rRNA from 1 species